CAGUAGCCACGGUAACACGUAGGGUGCAAGCGUUAAUCGGAAUUACUGGGCGUAAAGCGUGCGCAGGCGGUUAUAUAAGACAGAUGUGAAAUACCCGGGCUCAACCUGGGAACUGCAUUUGUGACUGUAUAGCUAGAGUACGGCAGAGGGGGAUGGAAUUCCGCGUGUAGCAGUGAAAUGCGUAGAUAUGCGGAGGAACACCGAUGGCGAAGGCAAUCCCCUGGGCCUGUACUGACGCUCAUGCACGAAAGCGUGGGGAGCAAACAGGAUUAGAUACCCGGGUAGUCCCUGUCUCUUAUAC
rnacentral:rRNA from 1 species